rnacentral:rRNA from 1 species
AGCGAACGUUAGCGGCGGGCCUAACACAUGCAAGUCGAACGAGAAUGAGGGGGCAACUCCUCUAGUAAAGUGGCGGACGGGUGCGUAACACGUAGGUAAUUUACCUUCCGGCGGGGGACGAACAGCCCGAAAGGGACUGCUAAUACCGCAUACGUCGGCGAGGUCUCCGGACCUUGCCGGGAAGAUGGCCUCUCCUUGGAAGCUGUCACCGGAAGAUGAACCUGCGGCCCAUCAGCUAGUUGGUGAGGUAAUGGCUCACCAAGGCUAAGACGGGUAGCUGGUCUGAGAGGAUGAUCAGCCACACUGGGACUGCGACACGGCCCAGACUCCUACGGGAGGCAGCAGUGGGAAUAUUGGGCAAUGGGCGAAAGCCUGACCCAGCCACGCCGCGUGAGUGAUGAAGGCCUUGGGUCGUAAGCUCUGUGGGGAGGGACGAAUAAGCUGGCAGUU